rnacentral:rRNA from 1 species
UACGAAGGGGGCUAGCGUUGCUCGGAAUCACUGGGCGUAAAGCGCACGUAGGCGGCUUUUUAAGUCAGAGGUGAAAUCCUGGAGCUCAACUCCAGAACUGCCUUUGAUACUGGAGAGCUUGAGUCCGGGAGAGGUGAGUGGAACUGCGAGUGUAGAGGUGAAAUUCGUAGAUAUUCGCAAGAACACCAGUGGCGAAGGCGGACUCACUGGCCCGGUACUGACGCUGAGGUGCGAAAGCGUGGGGAG